rnacentral:rRNA from 1 species
CGGUAAUUCCAGCUCCACUGGCGUAUAUUAACGUUGCUGCAGUUAAAGAGCUCGUAGUUGGAUGUGUGGAGGCCGGGAGGCGGCGAGGCCAAGCGUUUCGCAAGCAGACCGGCAGCCAUUAGCCUUUCAAGAUUUGCGGGCAUUGAGUUGUCUGCUGAUUGUCGAGAGGCCAUUUACUGUGAGAAAAGGAGAGUGUUCAAAGCGGGCGAAAGCUGGAAUACAUUAGCGUGGGAUGAUGAGAUAGAACAGAGGUUUUAUUUCGUUGGUUUAUGAGCCUUUGUGAUGAUAUAGAGGAGCAGUUGGGGGUAUUCAUACUUGCCAGUCAGAGGUGAAAUUCUUGGAUUUGGCAAAGAUGGACUGGUGCGAAAGCAUUUACCAAGGAUGUUCUCGCUAAUCAAGAACGAAAGUUAGGGGAUCGAAGAGGAUUAGAUACCCUCGUAGUCCUAACCGUAAACGAUGCCGACUCGGGAUUGGGCACUGUUGUUUGAGACGUGCUCAGGACCGUUCGAGAAAUCAAAGUCUUUGGGUUCCGGGGGGGGUAUGGUCGCAAGGCUGAAACUUAAGGGAAUUGACGGAAGGGCACCACCAGGAGUGGAGCCUGCGGCUUAAUUUGACUCAACACGGGGAAACUUACCAGGUCCGGACAUGAGAAGGAUUGACAGAUUGAGAGUUCUUUCUUGAUUUCAUGGGUGGUGGUGCAUGGCCGUUCUUAGUUGGUGGAGCGAUUUGUCUGGUUAAUUCCGUUAACGAACGAGACCUCCGCCUGCUAAAUAGGUGCUGCAAUUCUGAGAUUGUAGCAGCUUCUUAGAGGGACUUUGGGCGUUUAGCCCGAGGAAGUUGGAGGCAAUAACAGGUCUGUGAUGCCCUUAGAUGUCCUGGGCUGCACGCGCGCUACACUGAUGCGUUCAGAGAGCGAUCCUUGGCUGACAAGUCACGGGAAAUCUCGAAAGCGUAUCGUGAUGGGGAUAGAUGAUUGGAAUUAUUCAUCUUGAACGAGGAAUCCCUAGUAAACGCGAGUCAUCAGCUCGCAUUGAUUACGUCCCUGCUCCUGUACACACCGCCC